rnacentral:rRNA from 1 species
GUGGGGAAUAUUGGACAAUGGGCGAAAGCCUGAUCCAGCCAUGCCGCGUGUGUGAAGAAGGUCUUCGGAUUGUAAAGCACUUUAAGUUGGGAGGAAGGGUAGUAACCUAAUACGUUGCUACUUUGACGUUACCGACAGAAUAAGCACCGGCUAACUUCGUGCCAGCAGCCGCGGUAAUACGAAGGGUGCAAGCGUUAAUCGGAAUUACUGGGCGUAAAGCGCGCGUAGGUGGUUCAGUAAGUUGGAAGUGAAAUCCCCGGGCUCAACCUGGGAACUGCUUGCAAAACUGCUGAGCUAGAGUACGGUAGAGGGUGGUGGAAUUUCCUGUGUAGCGGUGAAAUGCGUAGAUAUAGGAAGGAACACCAGUGGCGAAGGCGACCACCUGGACUGAUACUGACACUGAGGUGCGAAAGCGUGGGGAGCAAACAGGAUUAGAAACCCGGGUAGUCC